CCUACGGGCGGCUGCAGUGAGGAAUAUUGGUCAAUGGGCGCGAGCCUGAACCAGCCAAGUAGCGUGAAGGAUGACUGCCCUACGGGUUGUAAACUUCUUUUAUAAAGGAAUAAAGUGAGGCACGUGUGCCUUUUUGGAUGUACUUUAUGAAUAAGGAUCGGCUAACUCCGUGCCAGAAGCCGCGGUAAGACGGAGGAUCAGAGGUUUAUCCGGAUCUAUUUGGUUAAAGGGGUGCGUAGGCGGCCUUGUAAGUCAGCGGUAAAAAUGCGGGGCUCAGCGCCGUACAGCCGUUGAAACUGGCAGUCUUGAGUGGGCGAGAAGUAGGCGGAAUGCGAGGUGUAGCGGUGAAAUGCAUAGAUAUGACGCAGAACUCCGAUUGCGAAGGCAGCAUAUCGGCGCCCGACUGACGCUGAGGUACGAAAGCGUGGGUAUCGAACAGGAUUAGAUACCCCAGUAGUC
rnacentral:rRNA from 1 species